rnacentral:rRNA from 1 species
AGUGAACGCUGGCGGUAGGCCUAGCACAUGCAAGUCGAACGGCAGCACAGUAAGAACUUGCUCUUACGGGUGGCGAGUGGCGGACGGGUGAGGAAUACAUCGGAAUCUACUUUUUCGUGGGGGAUAACGUAGGGAAACUUACGCUAAUACCGCAUACGACCUACGGGUGAAAGCAGGGGAUCUUCGGACCUUGCGCGAUUGAAUGAGCCGAUGUCGGAUUAGCUAGUUGGCGGGGUAAAGGCCCACCAAGGCGACGAUCCGUAGCUGGUCUGAGAGGAUGAUCAGCCACACUGGAACUGAGACACGGUCCAGACUCCUACGGGAGGCAGCAGUGGGGAAUAUUGGACAAUGGGCGAAAGCCUGAUCCAGCAAUACCGCGUGGAUGAAGAAGGCCUUCGGGUUGUAAAGCCCUUUUGUUGGGAAAGAAAAGCAGCAGGUUAAUACCCCGCUGUUCUGACGGUACCCAAAGAAUAAGCACCGGCUAACUUCGUG